rnacentral:lncRNA from 1 species
GAGUCGUCGAGGUUGAGCACCUGAGGAGUAGUUACAUUCUGUCGAGUCACGAACGGUGGAGCAUCCAAUGAAGGAUGAGGCAUCCAGUGGUGACGUCGGUGCAUUAGGCAGUACCAGGGCAAGGGAUUGGAUCGAUGGAUUUCUCAUAUUGGGCUUGGCCAUCUCCUUUGUACGUCUUUUCUUCUUCCCCUAAAACCGCACCUGACAGGUUGGACCUCGGCCACCAUGGCGAUUUGGAGGCUGGAACUCGACCCCGAGGCUGAGGGCUAGCAGGUGAGUACUCUGUUCCGCCACCGGAUCACCUGCUUACCCCUGUGGUAGAUCUGCCAUUGCCUCCGAUGGCACCGCCGCCACCGUGUAAUUGUGUGUUUCCGUCGUAUGCCUUCCGACUGCAAGCUUCCUCAUGGAGUAAUAAAGAAAAUCAAAGAAACUGCUCUCACCGUGCUCUUCAAUAGCCAUAUCCAAGCCAGAGGAGGAAAGACCACACAACCCUGUUGAUCUGUACGUAUAUCUUCCUUCUGAAUAUAUGUUCAUUUUAUUGAUCCCUCCCACUUCCAUGUCAUAUCAUCUUAGGCCAACUUCACCGCGCGGCCCCAUCUUGUCUGGGUGUGUCUGUUUGGGGUAAAACGAACGAAUAACGCGGCCCAACGCGCGGCCUCAAACGGAAAAAUGUCCGGAUUCUGUCUGUUUUCGACCCAUCCCGGGCCCAAACUUGCGCUCGGUUUGAGGUGAAACGGACGCGCGCGGACGGUCUAGACGCACGCCCUUGUCCCCCCGUGGCUCGCCUGUCGGGGACACUAGCAGUCCCUCCGCUCCCAACGCUUCCAACCUCUCUCUCCCGCCCCGCCCCGCCACCGCCGCCGCCGCUAUUCUUCGGCCGCCUCCUCACCGCGCAACCCCCGGCCGUCCCUACCGAACCACGUCUUGACAUGGUCGCCACCACGCCUGCGCUUUCGCCGUAGUUUUGGCCGUCGAUCGGAGGAGGUUUGGCUGUCACCAUCUUUGCCGGUGGCAGAGGGGACACGACCGCCGGCGACGUACCACGGCGGCCUCGGCAGCUUCCGAUGAGAGCUCCAGAGCGGCCAGUAGCCAGCCGGCAACCACCCCUGCUGCAUCGAGGUGAUCAUCGCGGCCUCUUCGCGACCACGACUGCAAGGUGUUCGACAUUUUUCCCACAAAGGUAUGGACAGUGGAGACGAGUUUUUCUUCCAUCACUUCCUUUGUUCAUCGGACGAUUCAUCGUCGGAUGAUGAAGAUCUUGUGGUGGUUGCACUGGUCGUUCACGACCACAUCCAACGGCAGCUUCCUCGGUACACGGAGUCACUCCCUGGCCGUGCUCCCAACCUAAACCGCAACAAGGAGAGAGGCCACGCCCUGCUCCAUGCCGAUUACUUUGCGAACACCCCGCUUUUCAAGCCGGAUAAAUUUCGUCACCGUUUUCGUAUGGCAAGGCAUGUGUUCAGUCGUAUCCGAGAUGGAGUGGUUGCUCAUGACUCAUACUUCGAGUGCAAGACGGAUGCCCUUGGCAAGCUUGGAUUCUCCUCUUACCAGAAAUGCACCGCGGCCAUCCGCAUGCUUGCAUAUGGUAUUCCAGGCGAUCUGGUGGAUGAGUAUGUGCGUAUGAGUGAGACAACAUGUCUAAUGUCAAUGUACAAGUUUUGCCAGGCUGUGAUCGAGGUGUUUGGCCCAGAGUACUUGAGGCAGCCAACUGCCGCUGAUACAGAGAGAUUGUUGGCGACCAACGCAGCUAGAGGCUUUCCAGGCAUGCUUGGUAGCAUAGAUUGUAUGCACUGGGAGUGGAAGAACUGUCCAUUUGCUUGGCAGGGCCAGUACAAGGGGCAUGUCAACGGGGGCACUGUCAUAUUAGAAGCGGUGGCAUUGCAGGAUCUUUGGAUAUGGCAUUCUUUCUUCGGCGUGGCAGGUUCUCACAAUGAUAUCAAUGUGCUGCAACAUUCUCUAGUCUUCGCGAGGCUUGCAGAAGGCCACUCCCCACCUGUCAACUUUGAGAUCAACGGCCACCAGUACAACAAGGGAUACUAUCUAGCUUGUGGUAUAUAUCCUCAGUGGUCAACUUUUGUGAAGACAAUCUCGAAACCCCAAGGUGAGAAGAGAAAGAGAUUUGCCCAAAUGCAAAAGAGUGCUACAAAGGAUGUGGAACGUGCUUUUGGUGUGCUCCAAUCCCGGUGGGGUAUCGUUCGAAACCCUGCACUGUCAUGGGAUGAAAGGAAGCUUUGGGAGGUGAUGAGUGCUUGUGUGAUCAUGCACAACAUGAUCGUCGAGGACGAGCAUGAUGAGAGUAUCUUCGACCAAUGAUUUGAUUAUCAAGGUGAAAAUAUUGAGCCCCUGCACCAAGACCUGGCCACAUUUGAACAGUUUGUCCAAUUUCACCGUGAGAUGUGUGAUUGGCACACUCAUUUGAAUCUUCAAAAUGACUUGGUUGAGCACGUGUGGGAUCACAUUGGCAACCAAUAGAUGUAUUGGUUCAUUUUAUGUUCAGUCAAGACAAUUUCGAUUUGGUUGUAAAACUAUUUUAUUAAAGACAAUUUCAAUUGGGUUGUAAAACUAUUUUAAUUUUUAGACAAAUAUUUGGGUUGUAAACUAGUUUUGAUGAAAAUAUGGGCAUUUAUGGCCCUGACGGAUAGGAUGGGGCAAACGGAUGCGGUCGCGCGCUGGGCGCAUGGCCACCGCAUCCCAGGACACGACCCCAUUGCCCCACCCAAACAGACAGAAUCCGGACAAAACGGACGUCCGUUUGGGGUCGCGCGGUGGAGUUGGCCUUAGGUAUAUGAGAUCAUGUGGUUCGUAUGUUCUUCUUGCAUAUUGCUUCGUUAUGGCUGUUCUACUUUGCUAGCACACAAAGCAUUUUACGUGCCCGGCUGUUUGCUUGAGAUACAUCACGAUUGACUGAUUGAGUUAUUGAUUCAUUUUUGUAGGCAUGUGGAAAUUAUGAUGGAUGCUGUCGUCAUGGAAAUAGGUUCUAACCAGUGAGAAACCCACAUAUAACCUCAACACUUGGUUCCUGUUGUAGUAUUUGUUAUCUCAUGUUUUAUCCUCCUACUUGCUUUAGUUCCUUAUAUAUUCUUUCUCUAUCUAGCAAUUGCAUGACCUGCACUGCUGAAUUGUAACCACAGAUCUGUACUGGCAAAUACUAUGACCAUGUCUAUUCAGAUUUCCGUGACAACAAGCUCUUUACUUAUUGUUUUCAGUUACAUUUUGCAUUGGCUGAUGUUUAAUGAUGUGAAAAUCUUAGCAAUAAAUCUGCAGG